rnacentral:rRNA from 1 species
GAUGAACGCUGGCGGCGUGCCUAAUACAUGCAAGUCGAGCGAUGAAGCCGGAGCUUGCUCUGGUGAAUUAGUGGCGAACGGGUGAGUAAUGCAUCGGAACGUACCGUGUAAUGGGGGAUAACGUAGCGAAAGUUACGCUAAUACCGCAUACGACCUGAGGGUGAAAGCAGGGGAUCGCAAGACCUUGCGUUAUACGAGCGGCCGAUGUCAGAUUAGCUAGUUGGUGAGGUAAAGGCUCACCAAGGCGACGAUCUGUAGCGGGUCUGAGAGGAUGAUCCGCCACACUGGGACUGAGACACGGCCCAGACUCCUACGGGAGGCAGCAGUGGGGAAUUUUAGACAAUGGGGGCAACCCUGAUCCAGCCAUGCCGCGUGAGUGAAGAAGGCCUUCGGGUUGUAAAGCUCUUUCGGCCGGGAAGAAAUCGCACAGGCUAAUACUCUGUGUGGAUGACGGUACCGGCAUAAGAAGCACCGGCUAACUACGUGCCAGCCGCCGCAGUAA